UGGGGGAUAUUGCACAAUGGGCGAAAGCCUGAUGCAGCGACGCCGCGUGAGGGAAGACGGUCUUCGGAUUGUAAACCUCUGUCUUCGGGGACGAUAAUGACGGUACCCGAGGAGGAAGCUACGGCUAACUACGUGCCAGCAGCCGCGGUAAUACGUAGGUGGCAAGCGUUGUCCGGAAUUACUGGGUGUAAAGGGAGCGUAGGCGGGAGCGCAAGUUGAAUGUUAAAUCUAUCGGCUCAACCGGUAGCCGCGUUCAAAACUGCGUUUCUUGAGUGAAGUAGAGGUUGGCGGAAUUCCUAGUGUAGCGGUGAAAUGCGUAGAUAUUAGGAGGAACACCAGUGGCGAAGGCGGCCAACUGGGCUUUUACUGACGCUGAGGCUCGAAAGCGUGGGGAGCAAACAGG
rnacentral:rRNA from 2 species